ACGUAUAUCGGCGAUGAAGCUCGCCGUGCUCUUAUGCAGAACCGCCGCACGGACUGCGACUAAUGGCUUCUGUUCGUUA
rnacentral:ncRNA from 2 species